GUAGGGAAUAUUGGACAAUGGGCGAAAGCCUGAUCCAGUCAUGCCGCGUGAUAGAUGAAGGCCCUCUGGGUUGUAAAUAUCUUUUAUCUGGGAAGAAACUCCUCUAUUCUUAGAGGCCUGACGGUACCAGAGGAAUAAGCACCGGCUAACUCCGUGCCAGCAGCCGCGGUAAUACGGAGGGUGCAAGCGUUAUCCGGAUUCACUGGGUUUAAAGGGUGCGUAGGCGGGUUGAUAAGUCAGUGGUGAAAGCUCCGGGCUUAACUUGGAAACUGCCAUUGAUACUGUCAGUCUUGAAUGUCGUAGAGGUAAGCGGAAUGUUGCAUGUAGCGGUGAAAUGCUUAGAUAUGUUACAGAACACCAAUUGCGAAGGCAGCUUACUAUGCGAUAAUUGACGCUGAGGCACGAAAGCGUGGGGAGCAAACAGGAUUAGAUACCCUAGUAGUCC
rnacentral:rRNA from 1 species